ACUGCAGCAGCCCUUACUCUCUCUCCCCACGGCGCACUUAGUUCCUCCACCAAGCAGAGGGCCAGCGCGCCUCCUCUCCCUCCCUAGCUGGCUGCGUGGAUCUGUCGCAAAUCCAGUGGAAGAGUGUUGAAUCCAUCCAGUUUUGUUUAUUGCCCCUGUAGUACCAUCCCAUUGUGAACUAAGGGAAGGAUUCUUAUUCAAGACGCAUCAUAUCAAUGGAACAACAAGCUGAUUCUCUUAAUACUGCCAUCCCUACUGCAUUUGCCCCUGCAGUACCAUCCCAUACCAUCAAUGCUUUUUCCAUCAAUGAUAUUCCACACCCGGUUGAUCACACAGGAGGCAGAGAAAUCAUUGUUUGCGCCCUUGCUGCUCCUGACAAUCCAGUUCCUGGUCCAUUUAGUGCAAAGCGCAAACGUAGAACGUUCUGGACAGCAUGUCCAAGUUGCAAGAAAAAGAACAAACAUUCGAUAGAGUGCCUUGGUUGCAACAUUCCAUGCCUUCAAUGCAGUGAAACAUUCAAGGCCAUUGAAGUAUCAAGACCUCGAAACCAACAUGCAACCACUACAGAGAAUGUUCACUCUGGAGCAAUUGUUAGGUCUCCAGGAACAAUGGUGGAACCUAGCAAAAUGACACUAACUGUGGAGACAAUCACCGAGGAUGAGAUAAAGGAGCUUUUGAUGUCCAAGGGCAGGAAUAUGGUGGUAGAAGCAACAAUCAAACGGAACAAUGUGAAAAAAUAAAAGUGAGAAGCCAACCUCAAGGGAGAGAACACAAUGGCAGCACUGAAGGACCUGUGUGUUCUAUUCAGUUUCAACAUCCCAAGAAGUAAUUCCCAAACAAUGAUUCUGCUAUGAGGAGUGCUCAUCUGAAGUUUCUGAGUCGAUUUUUUUGUUACAUCCAAUAAUUUUUAUUUUAUAACAGUGUUGUUGUGGGGGGGGGUGUAUAAAUGGAUCUAAUACCCUCGACUAUGCUUUUGCAUUUUUUGGGAAAGA